UCAAAGGCCACAAGUAAGGAACCCAAAUGGCACUUGUGGGUUUUGAACCCUGAACUUAGUUGCUGUAAUGAAGAAUGUUUUCUCUUUCAUCAUGGUGGCCAUUAUUCUGUUAGCCUUGUGAGCCGCACUCAUACCACCCUCAAGCUAAAAAAUAAGACCUGCUGACAGUAGGAAGAGUGUGGCCCUGAAUGAGUCACGCACAAGGACAUGAUAUGUGCCAGAGAAAAAGGAACAGGGAAAUGGAACAAGGAGACAGGAACGGCUCCCCCAGGUUUCAGCACCACACUCUCUCCCACGAGCUGACUCGUGGCUCAUGACUUGCCCAGUCAUGAGCUGUCAACACGGUGCUGAUGUGCCUCAGCCACAAUGCAGUCCCUGAUGUGUUUCAGCAUGCCAUCGUCAAACACACACAAGAAGGCCGUGAGCGCAUCUCCGAUGUUGCGCUUCGUGUGUGCUGUGGGCCAGCACAAUAGAACAAUGGAAUAGUGCGAAAUUCACUGCGGCCAAUAUGACCGUGUAUAGCCGAAAUAGGUAAAAAUGAAAUCAUAUUUUCUUGGCCUUUUGUGUAAUUUAUAUAAAACCUAUUGUAAAUAAAAAUACAAACACUUAGGAAAAGUCAGGUACCAGCAAGAUUGUAUUUUUUUUAUUCAACAAAGUUAUUGCACAUAUAAAUUUCAAAACGGUCAAAAUGACCGUCGUGGCCGUUCUAGUGUUAAUAAUCUUGUAAUGCAGCGUUAAGGUGUAUUCACAUUACACCGGAAUAACAAGGCUCUUGAGCUGCACAUUCCACAUUGGUUGGUGCAGUAUUUACCACUCCAUAACUCCUUGUGGCACUGUAACUUUACUAAACGGCGCCACCUUAGCUACAAUGCUAACGUUGCUAGCAGUAGAUCGCAACAUUUCAGAUACUCACUCUGUGUUUUUGUAACAAACCUGGUAGCUGCAUCUGCAUGUUGAUAUUUCGCCAGGCGAAUA